GCUCCGUUACCAGUCGGUAGAGCAACUGACUCUUAAUCAGUGGGUCCACGGUUCGAGCCCGUGACGGAGCACCA
rnacentral:tRNA from 1 species